rnacentral:lncRNA from 1 species
AACAGCUCCUUUGAAAUUACUCCUAUUUAAGAAGAAAAAUCAUAUUACUUUCUUAAUCUUUCUAAUUCUAUUCUCAUAAGAUGAUCUUGGAUUUGUUCCUUUAGCACAGACUCUUUAGUGCAGUCCUGAUUUCUGUAUUAAUGAAUUGAGAAGAUGACAUCAGGCUCUUAGUUCUACUGGUGGAUGUAUGACACGUAGAGUUGUCCACAGAGGUAUUCCUGUUGAGGAAGAAGAUGGAGGGGGGCUGGAGCCUGGGAAGGCAAACUAUGACAACAAGAGCCACCAAGCGAAGGAAAGAGAAACAGUGACGGAGGCUAAGCAUGAAUUUCCAACAUAACCAUCAGUCUGACUUCGGCUU